rnacentral:antisense_RNA from 1 species
UGUUUGGGCGGCGCUGUGUGGGAGGGGGCAACCCCUGCCGGUCCGUACACCGGUCUGUCAACCCGCACAGUGUUCGCCCUUU